rnacentral:rRNA from 1 species
AACGAACGCUGGCGGCAGGCCUAACACAUGCAAGUCGAACGAAGUCUUCGGACUUAGUGGCGCACGGGUGAGUAACACGUGGGAAUAUACCUUACGCUGGGGGAUAACAUCGGGAAACUGAUGCUAAUACCGCAUACGCCCUUCGGGGGAAAGAUUUAUCGGCGAAAGAUUAGCCCGCGUCCGAUUAGCUAGUUGGUGAGGUAAUGGCUCACCAAGGCUCCGAUCGGUAGCUGGUCUGAGAGGAUGACCAGCCACACUGGGACUGAGACACGGCCCAGACUCCUACGGGAGGCAGCAGUGGGGAAUAUUGGACAAUGGGCGCAAGCCUGAUCCAGCCAUGCCGCGCGAGUGAUGAAGGCCUUAGGGUUGUAAAGCUCUUUCACCCACGACGAUGAUGACGGUAGUGGGAGAAGAAGCCCCGGCUAACUUCGUG